GAUGAAGAACGUAGCGAAAUGCGAUAAGUAGUGUGAAUUGCAGAAUUCAGUGAAUCAUCGAAUCUUUGAACGCACAUUGCGCCCUUUGGUAUUCCAAAGGGCAUGCCUGUUCGAGCGUCAUUUGUACCCUCAAGCUUUGCUUGGUGUUGGGCGUCUUGUCUCUAGCUUUGCUGGAGACUCGCCUUAAAGUAAUUGGCAGCCGGCCUACUGGUUUCGGAGCGCAGCACAAGUCGCACUCUCUAUCAGCAAAGGUCUAGCAACCAUUAAGCCUUUUUUUCAACUUUUGACCUCGGAUCAGGUAGGGAUACCCGCUGAACUUAAGCAUAUCAAUAAGCGGAGGA
rnacentral:misc_RNA from 1 species